CCUACGGGUGGCAGCAGUGAGGAAUAUUGGUCAAUGGGCGGGAGCCUGAACCAGCCAAGUAGCGUGAAGGAUGACUGCACUAAGGGUCGUAAACUUCUUUUAUCAGGGAAUAAAGUGAGGCACGUGUGCCUGUUUGUGUGUACUUUAUGAAUAAGGAUCGGCUAACUCCGUGCCAGCAGCCGCGGUAAUACGGAGGAUGCGAGCGUUAUCCGGAUUUAUUGGGUUUAAAGGGAGCGUAGAUGGGUUGUUAAGUCAGUGGUGAAAGUUUGCGGCUCAACCGUAAAAUUGCAAUUGAUACUGGCAGUCUCGAGUACAGUUGAGGUAGGCGGAAUGCGUGGUGUAGCGGUGAAAUGCUUAGAUAUCACGAAGAACUCCGAUUGCGAAGGCAGCUUACCAAACCGCCACUGACAUUGAUGCUCGAAAGUGUGGGUAUCAAACAGGAUUAGAUACCCCAGUAGUC
rnacentral:rRNA from 1 species